UCCUAAACUCAACUGACUACUUGCUGUA
rnacentral:sRNA from 1 species